rnacentral:rRNA from 1 species
UUCAUCAGGCCUUACCAUCCUAAACACACCUGAUGUCAUCUGAUCCUGGAAGCUAAGCAGGGUAGCCACUUGGAUGGGAGACCUAUCUUCUACUGAUGACU